GUCCUCAGACCAACCAGCCCAAGGAACAUCUCACCAAUUUUUAAUCAGGAAUAUUCUGUGAAAAAGACUAAGAUAUCAGAGAAAUUAUUAGUGCACAUUAUUAGAAGAGAGCUUCAGAUGAAAAUAAAGGGAAUGAGGAUGCUACUGACAUCUAGUAGGCAGAGGUCAGGGAUGCUGGCAAACUUCCUACAAUGCACAGGACUGCCUGGAAUAAUAAAGAAGGAUACAGCCCUAAAUUGUCAACAAUGCACAUCUUGAGAAAAAUGUUCCAAAGUAAAAGCUGAGUGAUUGUUCAUCAGCUAAAUAAAUGAUUUGCUACAGCCCUUGCAUUACUGGCUUUCUGCCCAUCAGUAUUACCUCAAGAUGAUUUAAAGCAAAGGCUUUCUGGUUAAAAUGUGAUGAAGGCUAAAAUCAAAAUGGCAAAGAGCCGGGGAGCACUUCAGGUGGAACGUAAGUUCACUUAUGAGGUAAAGCACUCAUGUAAGGUGAGUGGCCAUACCCUGGUGUUCAACUCAGCUUGAAUUUUAGCU
rnacentral:lncRNA from 1 species